AGCGCCGUAGAGAGAUGUGGGAGCAACCAACUGCGGAGGAGGAGGAGGAGGAAGCCACUGCGGUGAGCUCAUACGCUUUGGCGACCCCUGCUGACCGCCCGGGUGGUUCCCUUGCGCACCUUGGGCGCGUGUGCCGGUGUGGCGCGCAGCUGAACCCCCACCCCCCCGCCAUCGCAGACGACGGUGGUGGUGGUGCACUUCCCGAGCCCACGACCGAAAAGGCUGGAAUCUGCAGUCUCCAGAAGACUGCCCUCUCUGGAACGAGCCGUUUGCAGAUCGUCACAAGGGACUAUGGGCACGGAAUGGCUAAUUUUCCUCUGCUGGUUUCUCCUCCAGGCCUCCCGUGCUUAAAGCAUACGGUAUUUCGAUGUUCUGCUCCGCACAGCAUCCUGCAUUUGUUAGCGGCUGCGUGCCGUGUAGGUUACUAAGGACACGUGCGUUGCAUAUAUUACUGUUCAAGCCGCUGGUUACUGUUCAGUCCUUUCUACCGCGAGACCUGCCUUGAAUUCUUUAUUGCUCAACGCCCCGGUUGCUUCUCUGCUUUGCCUGGUUCUCAUGCGCCUUGUUAUUCAAUCCACAUUUACCUAAAGUUUCUGGACUUUAGUCUCGGCGUGGUCCUCCUGUAUUCAGCGUGCAGAUUGCCACCAGUGCGCACCACUUUCCAGUUAACGCGUCCCAAUUGUGAAUAUGACUCCUGUUUCAAUUCCAAUCUUGGUUUCUCUUCCAUGGUUCAGGAAGAAGAGCAUAUUAAAUCCGUGGAAGAAAUCCCACUGCUGUACCCAAGUUUAGCUGCACCUAUGCUAUGCAUAACACCAGUACUCAGCAUAUUCGCCUGGAAAUGAAUCUCAUUUGUUUCCAUUGUUCUAUCCUGGAAGUGCACUUAAGGUCACAUUUUGAAAUGCACACUUGAGAGUAGGUCCCAUUGAACUCAGAAGGGCCUUAUUUCCAAGUAAGUAUAAUUGGAUUGGGCUGUAUGUCUGGUUGUAUCCAAAUAUUCUGGCUUCCUGCUCAGUCCCAUGCGUGCCUCUUCAGAAAUAACUCAAACGAAAUUCAGUAGGACUUACAAUCAAAUAUUUCCAGGGAUGUAGCUGUGUCCAUCUGUUGCAGCAAAAAGCAACAAAUAGUCUCGUGGCGCCAUAAAGACUAAGAGACUUUAUCAUGACAUAAGCUUUCGUUGACUUGAGCUCACUUCAUCAGAUGCAUAAAUCAUUAGUCAUCAGAUAAAUAUGCACACAUAUGGAUUUGAAGGGGUGGGUGUAAGGUUGGAAUUAAAUGACCAUGCAAAGGGUAUACAGGCUGUGACAACCUGAUGAAGUGGGAUUCUAGUCCAUUACGGCUUAAGGCAUGAUCAAAAUACUUUGUUCAUUUUCCCAAGUAAGUGUGUGUAUAAGGUUAGGUAUGAGGUUGUCUUGUUUGAGGAUUGGCAUAAGUUCUAAAUGCAACAGACUAUUGUGGUUAGGUCAAAGGCUUGACGAAAGUCUAAUUUUAGGCCAUGAAUAAAUGAUAUGUACUGCCUUUCUGUUCCUUCAGCUUCUCAAAUUAAUCAUCGAAGCUGAACCCCAUCACAAUGACAUUUGCCUUGUUUUCUGCAUUGUUAGCUUAUAUUGCUUUUGUUUUUUUAAAAAAUAAUGACAUGUUUAUUCUCCAUGGAUAAGAAUUUGCUGGCUACUUCCUUGUUAUUUCUAGCUGAGUUAUUUCUCCAAUUUAUAUAUGAUUAGUCUUCUGUAGAAAUGCUGAAAUAAAAAGAAAAUAACGCUUCGUAAGAACAAGGUUGAAGAAGUGCUAAUGUUGCAUUUAAGAGUAACCGCUCCAAGGUUUAUCCUGGAAAGGAAAAAUACUCCCCCCAUCUUUGCGCACUGUUUAUUGAUUAUUCAUCCUGACUUGUUUUGAGGGAGAUAAGACAACAUUGGCUCUUCAAUUCGCAUUCAGUCUUAUUUGUUUGCAGGGAGAUUAGACGAUGUUGCAUCAAAGCAAGGGUCAUCCCACAACUUCCCAGUGCAUUUUCCUGACUCUUUCCUUAUCAAGAAGAAUCCAAUCUUUUGGGGGAAGUGGGUUUGUUGCACAAAAUGUCCCAAUCAACUAUAAUUGCACAACCAGAAUUUGCCAGUGUGUGAUUGAAUUGAUCUUGAAAAUAGAGACAACCUGGAAGCACCCACUAUGUGUAAACAUACCCGUGUGAUGGGAACGGGGAACCCUUUUCAGCCUGAGGGCCACAUUGUCUUCUGAGCAAUGUUCCAGGGGCCACAUGUCGGUGAUUGCGGGUGGCAAAGGCUAAAGUGGGCAGAGCAAAAUACACACACUCACACAUCCCUCUCUACCCUCCAUCAAAUAGAUUGUUUCUGUGCAUUUCUCACCUAGGUAUCUGCAGUGAUGCAUUUAUUUAUUUAUUUAUUUACUUAUUCAUUAACUUCCUUUGAGUGUAUUUAUGCCCAAGGCAGCUUAUACUAUAAAACAGAGCAAACAAUGUCAGUGCUGGUUCCGUAACAUUUCAGUUAAAACAAUACAGUCAAGAGACUUCCGGGGUGGCGCCAUCGGUAAUGGCGGACUCCCACUGAUCCGGAGGGACUGGCUCUACGGGAAUCGGGUCUGUUCCGCUACGGCGAAGCUGGGACCCUUGAAAAAAUCACAGGCGGGUGAAGCCUGUGACCGUGGGACUCGGCGGGCACCUUUUGCGCCCCCCCCCCAUCUGCAAAGGAGCCCAAUUACGGGCUCCGGAGUGAAGCCGGGAAGCGGCGCGGUGCUGAGAGUCAACUGCUUCUUCCGUGGAGCGAAGCCGCACAGCCGCUACCGGAGAGCGCUACCUUUUUCCUGUGACAAUCUGGCUACAAAACAACUACCCGUGAGUAAGUUAAUUUUGGAAAUAAAGGAGAACAAAGACGUAAUUUGAUACCGAAGCGGGGAGGCAUAAACAGGAAGUCUGCCUUCCGUUCUUUGUAAAUAGAGUAAAGCAAUGAACUUGUAAGCUAAAACCUUGAAAGACGCUUGAAAAAGACUAUAAUUCUAACAUCAAAACAAGCGAUCUCCCCCCUUGGCUGCAGGAGAGGAGGGGGGAAAGGUGUGAACUGUAUUUCCCUGCAAAAAGAGAGAAAAGGAAGCUAAAAUCCACCGCUUAAAACCUGGGAACGGGCUGUCAAUGGACAAUAAGAAUGCCGUACUGUGAAAUGCGCUGUUGGUGAAUAGAGUACUUUUUGACAGCUAACUCUGCUAGUGAGAUACAGUGUUUCUGGCUGGCUUCUCCUGGUUUUAAAGUAACUGGAAAAUAACUGAAAUUGAAACUGUUGUCUAUUUUGUGAAUUGGGGGAUUAAAAAAAAGGUCAUUUAUUUUAAGGCAACAACUUCUGACUGCUACUGUGUCCCCCUAGAGGAAGUUUGAAAUUGUUACAAUAACAACUGGGCCAGGGGAAUUUUCCACUUCAAAACAAGCCUGGAAUUUUCCACUUCAAAACAAAUCCUGGCCGUGGGGCUGACCUUGGGCUUUAACUAGAGUGUUAUGGCAGAUGGAAAAGAGAAGAUAGAUUUGCCUCAGGAAAAAACAACGAGGUCUGGUAGAUCUUUUCGCCCAGACGCUGGGCUGCAGCGAAGAGCAUCAACAUCUGGCCCUUCUGGCCCCUCUGCAUCAUCAGGGGCUGCAUUUGUACAACCUAAACCUAAAGGAAUGGCAUCCGAAGAUGUUUUAGCUCAGGCAUUAGGCAAAAUUAAUGAAUCUCUGGAAAAACUAAGUAAACAAGUAGCUGAAGCAUCAAUUAAAAUUGAUCAAAAUACUACAAGUAUUAACAAUUUGGGACAGAAGGUAAAUACUAAUACAGAAACUAUUGAGAAACUGCUACAGGAAUCUACUUUGACCUGAAAGACAGCUGAAGAAGCAAAGGAAAUAGCAGUUGCUGUAGAAGAGAAGAUACCACCGAUACAUAGGCAACUUGAAGACCACAGGUCGAUAUUGUCUAUGAUUGAAUUGAAGGAGAAACAAAUGAAUUUGAGGAUCAGGGCCGUACCUGAACUUGAGAAAGACAAUCUGAGUGACUUUCUUAUGCAGGAAUUUGCAGACUUUUGGAACCCAGAUUUGGAGAAGGAAGAUUUUAAGAUAGUGAGUGCUUUCAGGCUUGGAAGAGGAGGGAAGAAGAACAGGGUGAGAGACUGUUUGAUCACCCUCCGAACAAAAGAGGAGAGAGACAAAAUCUUGAGUCUGCACUUCCAGAAGACUUUGGAAAUACAUCAGUCAAAAGUGGAGAUAUUUAAAGAUAUUCCGAAAUAUCUUCUGGACCUUAGGUCCAAUUAUGGAGAUUUGGUUGCCCUGUUGAGAAGCAACAGAAUCAUCUUUAGGUGGGAAUUUCCCCAAGGCCUAUCUUUUAGCUUCAAAGGAAGAAAGAUAAAAAUAAGAUCAGUGGACGACAAAGAAAGAUUUUUGAAAGACCACGGAGAAGACCUACAGAAAGAAUUUGGAGAAGAGUUAAGAGCACUAGAAAGAGGAAUAUUAGACAUAGCAAAACUACCUUUUGGAUUAAAAGACUGCCCAGAGAAGGUGAUACCACCGACAGAGCAGGAACAGGCACUUGGUGCAGUUGGAGGAAAAGUAAAGUAACUACAUCAUGGCUCUGCAACUAUUAAGCUGGAAUUGUAAUGGUCUCAACUCCCCCCAGAAAAGGAAAAGAGUGUUUCAUUUAUUAAAAAAGGAACAAUUGGACUUGAUUUGUCUACAGGAAACACAUGUGAUAAGGCUACAUAGAAAAGUAUUGAUCAAUAAAAGACUGGGCCAGGAGUUUAUUUCAUCGGAUAAAGUUAAAAAAAGAGGAGUAGUGAUUUAUGCAAAGGAGAGACUAUCACCGAAAUUUAUCUUUAAAGAUGACCAAGGAAGAUUUGUGGCAAUUGAAAUUCAAAUACAAGGAGAGAAAUUCUUAAUAGUAGGAGUUUACGCACCAAAUGAGGGGAAAUCUGAAUUCUUUAAAAAGUUGCAUGAGACCUUGAUGGACUAUUUGGACUAUAAUGUGAUUUUGAUGGGAGAUAUGAACGGAGUGGUAUCUACACAUAUGGACAAGGCACAAAGACAGGUAGUCACUAAGGAUGGCAGACUACCGAAAACCGUUUUUGAGAUGACAGAUAACUUGGACUUAGUUGAUAUCUGGAGAACAAAGAAUCCCUUGGCUAGAGAGGGAACCUUCUUCUCUGAAGCCAAAAUGACAUGGACAAGAAUUGACCAAAUAUGGGUAACUAGAGGAAUGGCACCAAAGACAAGAAAAGUGGAAAUUUGCCCAAAAACCUGCUCCGACCAUAAUGCUGUGAAGAUGGAGAUGAAACUAACACCAAUUGGCUCCUUCAGAUGGAGGAUGAAUGACACCUUAUUUAGAGAUGAAGAAGUGACUAAGAAGGCCCAAAAAACCUUGAGAGACUAUUUCGAGACAAAUAUGAACACUAAUGUUGAAAAAAGUAAUCUGGGACGCAAGCAAAGCUGUUAUGAGAGGGUUCUUGAUACAACAGAAUGC